rnacentral:rRNA from 1 species
GACGAACGCUGGCGGCGUGCUUAACACAUGCAAGUCGAACGGAAAGGCCCUGCUUUUGUGGGGUGCUCGAGUGGCGAACGGGUGAGUAACACGUGAGUAACCUGCCCUUGACUUUGGGAUAACUUCAGGAAACUGGGGCUAAUACCGGAUAGGAGCUCCUGCUGCAUGGUGGGGGUUGGAAAGUUUCGGCGGUUGGGGAUGGACUCGCGGCUUAUCAGCUUGUUGGUGGGGUAGUGGCUUACCAAGGCUUUGACGGGUAGCCGGCCUGAGAGGGUGACCGGCCACAUUGGGACUGGGAUACGGCCAAGACUCCUACGGGAGGCAGCAGUGGGGAAUAUUGCACAAUGGGCGGAAGCCUGAUGCAGCAACGCCGCGUGCGGGAUGACGGCCUUCGGGUUGUAAACCGCUUUCGCCUGUGACGAAGCGUGAGUGACGGUAAUGGGUAAAGAAGCACCGGCUAACUACGU